ACCGAACACUACAAAAAAUGAGCAAAAUUGCGGGGGUUAUUUUAACCUCCAUAAAAUUAUAUGAAAUGCGGGGGUUAAAAGUCUAUCGCUAAAAUUUAUAAAUUUGCGGGGGUUUAACCCCGCUAUCAAUUGCAGGAGUUUUAAAACCUCGGCUAUCAAUUGAAAAAAUAGCUUUUAUGCCAUCAAAACAAUAUUUUCCCUUUUUUUUUUUUUAAUUUUCCAAACAUUUUCCCUCUUGGCCAAAAUAUUUUCCCUCUCUUUUAAUUUACAACUCUCAUUUUCCCCCAAAUCACCCUCUCUCAUUUUCCCAAAUUGACCCUCUCUCUUAUUUUCCCCAAAAUUGUCUCCGGUCGGUGGGCCUUUGCUACUUCGGCUAGCCAUUGCACUAGGUGUUGCAAUUGAGUUGGACUCCGAGUUGUCAAAGGAGCUCAGGUCAAACAAAAUAUUCUUCUCAAGCCAGCUCGAUUGAAGAGGAGCCAAGUGAUGUGGCUAGUGGACCCAUUUUGCCCAUGGAUGUAAGGAGACCAUGUGAUGAUAGUGAUCCUAAUGAUAGCCAUUGGUUUCGUUGCAAAUUGUCUUGGAUAUUCAAUUAUGUCUUGGAUGCAAUUUUGUGGUUGGAGUGAAUCUUAGAAUAUUGAAGGUUUUAUGUUUAAAUUUGAUUUUGGAGUUUGAUGAUACUAGUUAAUGUUGAAAAUUCGGAGUUUGAAGAUGUUAAUGUUGAAUAUUUAAUUUUUGAAG